rnacentral:rRNA from 1 species
UUUCCGGUUGAUCCCGCCGGACCUGACUGCUAUCGGAUUGGUACUAAGCCAUGCGAGUCUUUGCAGUAAUGCAAGGCAUACGGCUCAGUAACACGUAGUCAACCUACCCUAUGGACGAGAAUAAUCUCGGGAAACUGAGCAUAAUUCUUGAUAGAUCAUAAUGCCUGGAAUGGUUUAUGGUUAAAAUGAUUCGUCGCCAUAGGAUGGGACUGCGGCCUAUCAGCUUGUUGGUGAGGUAAUGGCCCACCAAGGCGAUUACAGGUACGGGCUCUGAGAGGAGAAGCCCGGAGAUGGGUACUGAGACACGGACCCAGGCCCUAUGGGGCGCAGCAGGCGAGAAAACUUUGCAAUGUGCGGAAGCACGACAAGGUUAAUCCGAGUGAUUUCUGCUAAAGAAAUCUUUUGCCAGUCGUAAAACCGCUGGUGAAUAAGGGGUGGGCAAGUUCUGGUGUCAGCCGCCGCGGUAAAACCAGCACCUCAAGUGGUCAGGAUGAUUAUUGGGCCUAAAGCAUCCGUAGCCGGCUUUGUAAGUUUUCGGUUAAAUCCAUGUGCUCAACGCAUGGGCUGCCGAAAAUACUGCAUAGCUAGGGAGUGGGAGAGGUAGACGGUACUCAGUAGGUAGGGGUAAAAUCCUUUGAUCUAUUGAUGACCACCUGUGGCGAAGGCGGUCUACCAGAACACGUUCGACGGUGAGGGAUGAAAGCUGGGGGAGCAAACCGGAUUAGAUACCCGGGUAGUCCCAGCUGUAAACGAUGCAGACUAGAUGAUGCAUUGGCAUAAUAGCCAUUGCAGUGUCUCAGGGAAGCCGUUAAGUCUGC